rnacentral:rRNA from 1 species
UACGGGGGGGCAAGCGUUGUUCGGAAUUACUGGGCGUAAAGGGCUCGUAGGUGGCCAACUAAGUCGGACGUGAAAUCCCUCGGCUUAACCGGGGAACUGCGUCCGAUACUGGUUGGCUUGAGUUUGGGAGAGGGAUGCGGAAUUCCAGGUGUAGCGGUGAAAUGCGUAGAUAUCUGGAGGAACACCGGUGGCGAAGGCGGCAUCCUGGACCAACACUGACGCUGAGGAGCGAAAGCCAGGGGAGCAAACGGG